GUGUUCUCAUUUCAUUAGCACAUACACUAAAAUGGCAAUGGUACAGACAAGAUUAGCAUGGCCCUGUACAAGAAUGAUAUGCACAUUUAUGAAGUGUUCUAUUUUUUC
rfam:Cavia porcellus supercont2_33 genomic scaffold, whole genome shotgun sequence.